AUUAAAUAGUGAUGAUGAAUGCGACGAAAAUUCAUUUAUUUUGCAGCUUCCAAAAAUGCCUGUUAGGCCUGUACAUACCUCUGAAAAAUGAAAAAGGCAAAAUUGUCACAGAAAGAAUUAACAGUGAAACAUAAAAACUCAUAAUCAACAUUGGACAGAUAUGAUUGCAACUACAAUGUAAAAGAUAUACCUAAACCUAGUACAUCUAAAAAGAUACAUGCAGAUGAUAAAGAUGAUGUAGAUAAUGACGUAAAUGAUGAAGAUUAU